UACGUAGGGGGCAAGCGUUGUCCGGAAUCAUUGGGCGUAAAGCGCGCGUAGGCGGCCCCGGUAAGUCCGCUCUGAAAGUCCAGGGCUCAACCCUGGAAAGCGGGUGGAUACUGCCGGGCUAGAAUCCGGAAGAGGCGAGUGGAAUUCCUGGUGUAGCGGUGGAAUGCGCAGAUAUCAGGAGGAACACCAAUAGCGAAGGCAGCUCGCUGGGACGGUAUUGACGCUAAGGCGCGAAAAGCGUGGGGAGCAAACAGGG
rnacentral:rRNA from 1 species